rnacentral:rRNA from 1 species
GAUGAACGCUGGCGGUAUGCUUAACACAUGCAAGUCGAACGGUCUCUUCGGAGAUAGUGGCGGACGGGUGAGUAACGCGUGAGAAUCUGGCUCUAGGUCUGGGACAACCACUGGAAACGGUGGCUAAUACCGGGUGUGCCGAAAGGUGAAAGGUUAACUGCCUGGAGAUGAGCUCGCGUCUGAUUAGCUAGUUGGUAGGGUAAAAGCUUACCAAGGCGACGAUCAGUAGCUGGUCUGAGAGGACGAUCAGCCACACUGGGACUGAGACACGGCCCAGACUCCUACGGGAGGCAGCAGUGGGGAAUUUUCCGCAAUGGGCGAAAGCCUGACGGAGCAAUACCGCGUGAGGGAGGAAGGCUCUUGGGUUGUAAACCUCUUUUCUCAGGGAAGAAAAAUGACGGUACUUGAGGAAUAAGCAUCGGCUAACUCCGUGCCAGCAGCCGCGGUAAUACGGAGGAUGCAAGCGUUAUCCGGAAUGAUUGGGCGUAAAGCGUUCGCAGGUGGCAUUGAAAGUCUGCUGUCAAAGAGUCUGGCUCAACCAGAUACAGGCAGUGGAAACUUCAAAGCUAGAGUGCGGUAGGGGCAGAGGGAAUUCCUGGUGUAGCGGUGAAAUGCGUAGAGUUCAGGAAGAACACCGGUGGCGAAAGCGCUCUGCUAGACCGCAA